CGUGUAAUCAUCCCCAGCAAUGUUCACUCGCUGCAGUUCACAACGUGUCGUUCACUCCAUAUUGACAGUUGUUCCAGUCAUACAUCAGACGAAAGACGUAUAUAUUUAUAUGUCUUUGAUCAGACAAGGCACAACGUGACUGUCCUCGCAGUAGGAAGAAAGAGUCACUCACAACAAUGUCAUGGACACCACAAACGUCAAUCUCAGCAACGACGUUACCGGCCAGAACGUCAGCAUCGGUUCAACAGGGGCAGGUCCUUCUGGAGACAGGGCUGGAGAAAAAGGUCACAACCUCUCACCAGAGCAGCUACUGCAGCUUUUGGAGGAACACCAAUGUUCCGAUGGAACGAUUCAAACCUUCUUUGAGAACAAAGUUGGGGGAAGACUUUUUUGGAUGUGAAUGAUGCCCUCCUCGAUGAACUGAAAAUUAAAAGUUUGAUAGAAAGGAAGAAGAUUGAGAUGCUUCAAGAAGGAAAUAGCCAAUACAGACUCAUCUGAACAGCUUGUACAUACAACACACAUCUCUGAUAACUAUCUAGCCAGACUAGAGUUGUAAUACCUGAAAUAAUUGAAAAAUAAUGCAUUUCGUAAUAAGGAUUGGAGAGUGAAUACAAUUAAUGGCAACCCCUUUGUAAUUUGAGAAAGCUGAAAGUAACCAACAUUAAUGAACAGUGGGUUGUUUGGGGACAAGAAAAAGCUUGUUGUGACUUUAGCACGUUGCAUUGUAUUCAACUUCGUAGUAUCCGACAUUUACUGUGUCCGCAUAGUGCUACAUUAAGGUUAGCAAGUAAGAUUAUUUCUCAUUCAGUGAUAAAGUUUGAGUACAGUCUUUAUCUGGUGUCAAUGCGAGACAAACGAUAUUAUCACAUAUAACAUGUGAUCCACAUAUUUGCAUUUAUCUUUGUGCGUCAGUGCUGUGGCUGUGGUUUCGCAGUCGCUUUGGUAAUGGUGCACAAAGUGUAAUACAAAUAUGUCAGCUUUACAAACAACUUGAAAACUGUUCAAAGAAACUCAAAAGAGGAUUUUUGUUACGAUCGUGGAGUAGUUUAAUUGAAUAGCAUCAAUGCAAAAAGCAUCCUGUAUCUUUACGUUUGUACAAACGGAUCUUAAAUUUGUCGAGACUGGAACUUUCGCAUAGUGCUACAUUAAGGUUUAAGUUAGCAAGAAAGAUGAUUAAUUUCUCAUUCAGUGAUAAAGUUUGAGUACAGUCUGUAUCUUGUGCUAAUGCGAGACAAACGAUAUUAUCACAUAUAACAUGUGAUCGCCUUAUUUGCAUUUAUCUUUGUGCGUCAGUGCUGUGGCUGUGGUUUCGCAGUCGCUUUGGUAAUGGUGCACAAAGUGUAAUACAAAUGUGUCAGCUUUACAAACAACUUGAAAACUGUUCACAGAAACUCAAAAUACUUUUUUUUAGAUACAAAUUCAUGCUUCUUAAAUGUGUCGAAAUUGGAACUUUGUGUUGAGAAAAGAGCAAAUGUCGUUUAAAUACACACAUUUUACCGUGCAAAUUAAAUGCAAAUAUAUGGUGCAGAUGAGUCAGUAGGCACGAGAGACAACGUAAACACGCUUUGCUAUAGUUCACGUCCAGUUCUCAUCAUUUAUAAGUUUAAGGGUAAGAUAACAUACGACGUUAGAAAUCACCGAAAUAACAUAAAUGGAUUAGUGCACUUAAAGAAAAACGUCGCCUUUACAAACUAAGGUUUGACUGUCUGAGACACACAUUUCUCACAUGAUUGUAAAUGUUCAAAUAAAUUCAUGUGUGUAUGUUGUUGAAGGUUAAUGUUAUAUUCGUCAUAGUUCUUUACAAUGGUAUCUUCGCAUCGACUAACUCGUAUCUGAACUCGUACUCGUGUACAAGUGUUUAGACAGGAGUAUUGAGUAGUAGGGUAUGUUCCAAAUUAUAAAUAUUUCGUGUGCAAACUAAGUGUAAAUCUACCAUUAGGCUGGUAAAUGUCAUAUUUUCAUUGUACCAUUCUUGUUUUGCCUUGUAAAAACAAAAUUUACAAGGAAGUACCAGUCGGGCUGUGGUGAUCGUUAUAUAUAUACUGUAUAUAUAUAUAUAUAUAUAUAUAUAUAUAUAUGGUUAGAUCUGACAAACAACUUCUUUCUAUUACGUCUCAUAUCCUCCCCCAUCCCCAAUCCCCCUUCUUGAGUUUUCGAGUCAAGUUUUCAAAAAUGAAACUGCUGAACACGGUUCAAUGAGCACGUCUUAGUCAACACCUUGAAAACUGAGCUCACCGCCUGUUUCUUGUCUGAAUGAACAUGACUUAUGACAAAAAGUUGACACAAUAACGGGGCACAGUUCAAGGGGAAUAGUGUUACACCAUACACACGCGUUUGAAUGAACCGUGAUGCUCCUGUGUGGAGAACAGCUUCUUGUCAUAGUCCAUGACGACUUCAUGAAACGGCUUCACGUGUAAUUGCUUCAAAGUCAUUCAAAUGUUCUUUAUAAAGUUAAGUUUGUUUUAACCUUGGACGAUCAGAUAUAAUCGGUCCGGCUGUAAAUAUAUCCUGUUCAGUCAAUAAAAUCUUCCACAGAA